UACGGAGGGUGCAAGCGUUAUCCGGAAUUAUUGGGCGUAAAGCGUCCGUAGGUGGAUGUUCAAGUCAGUUGUUAAAGCGUGGAGCUUAACUCCAUAAGGGCAAUUGAAACUGAGCGUCUAGAGUGCGAUAGGGGCAAGGGGAAUUCCCAGUGUAGCGGUGAAAUGCGUAGAUAUUGGGAAGAACAUCGGUGGCGAAAGCGCCUUGCUGGGUCUGCACUGACACUGAGGGACGAAAGCUAGGGGAGCGAAAGGG
rnacentral:misc_RNA from 1 species